rnacentral:rRNA from 1 species
UACGUAGGGUGCAAGCGUUGUCCGGAAUUAUUGGGCGUAAAGAGCUCGUAGGCGGUCUGUCGCGUCGGCUGUGAAAACUCGGGGCUCAACCCCGAGCCUGCAGCUGAUACGGGCAGGCUUGAGUUCGGUAGGGGAGACUGGAAUUCCUGGUGUAGCGGUGAAAUGCGCCAGAUAUCAGGAGGAACACCGGUGGCGAAGGCGGGUCUCUGGGCCGAUACUGACGCUGAGGAGCGAAAGCGUGGGGAGCGAACAGG